UGUAUUUGUGGCACUUGAGUAUAACACUUGAGUGAAUGUUAAAGUUUUUGACAAUUGAGUCGCCAUAUUUACCCCUGCAUUGAACCAUAUGGAUGCAAAGGAUUUUUAGUUAGACCCGAAGUCUUUAAACCAACAGUUGUUAGCUCUCAAAGCAAAUUAUCAAAAAAAAAAUUCAAAAGUUUUUGGUUUUCAAUUCAAGUGUGAAUUACAGAAAAGUUAAAAAAUGAGUGAAGUCCGCAGCUUGAUGACUACUUUUGCCACUUUGGCUGUGCUAUUGAUUCUUCUCUGGCUGUUGUAUGCCAUCUUUUAAGCUAGAAAUCAAUCGAAACAAAAACAACAACAGCGAUCACAGGUGUCGUACUUGCGAUCGUGUAGUAUAAGUAUGUUGCGUGUCUAGUAUACGAAAAGCUUUAAAAAUCAAUCAGCAACAAAAACCAAAACAACAACAGCAACAACAUGAAUGAAGCCAAGAGUUUGUUCACCACUUUCCUCAUCCUGGUCUUCCUGUUGGGCCUGCUGUGGGCCUUCUAUGAAGCCGUUUUCUAAAUCAACAACGAGUUAUUAUUAACAACAACAAUAAUAACAGCAUCUAGACAUGAUUUUCAUAUAAUUAAUAUUUUUGUCACAAGCCGCACCUAAAACAAACACAUACAUACAUACAAACAUAUCCUGUGUAUGUUGGGUACGACAUUUUCGUUAGUUUUUUUUAUUUAACACCAUCAAAUUCAUGGAAAAUAGUUUGGAAAUAAACAAUUAACGGUAUCACAUCGUGUAAUCUGGCAAUAACAACAACACCAUCUUACAUAAUAGAAUUAAUAAGCGUAAAAGCAUUUCCAAGUAACAUUAAAAUUCGUAAAAUAAGGACAAAUGUCAACAAAGAAAUGUAGUUCGCUUAGUUAGAAAAUGAGAUGACGUCAACGCUCGACAAAUACCAUAUGCAAAUACCAACGAAACAGCGGCAUACUGUGUCGCCACCAAGCCAAAGGUAUUUCGCAUACAUAUCAUCACAUACACAGCGCUCUGGCAACUUUGCGCGCUGUGAAUAGUUGAAAGGCUCGCAGUUUGUGCUCCGUAAACAAUAGCAAUUAUCAGCUGUCAACGAUUCAUCAGUUCAACAACCGAAAAUAAACUAUUUGUCCAGUUGACGUCCAACUCAUUCAUUCAAAGAAAAUUGCGUUUAUUUAAAAGUAAAGGAAAAAUAUGUAAAAAUUAUCCUAAAACCAAAACAAAAAACCAAAAAAAAAAAGCUUACUAGUGAGCAACAACAAGAAUGUUUGGCGCAUGUUUAAAACAUAUUUUUUCUUCUUAGUUGUAUAAGGGUAUUUGAUAUAAGCCAUAGUUGUAGCGACUUUAUAAUAUUAUAAAAUAUUUAUCAAACAGCAGCAGGCAGGAACGAAAUUAAAAAAAAUGGGUAUUUAUGGAACGUUAAAGAAUAUAAGAUCUUAUUAUUCUAAUGUAAUGUAAAAAAUAAAAAAUAAAGUACAGAAAAACAUCACAAAAAUGCA